rnacentral:rRNA from 1 species
GAUGAACGCUGGCGGCGUGCCUAAUACAUGCAAGUCGAGCGAACGGACGAGAAGCUUGCUUCUCUGAUGUUAGCGGCGGACGGGUGAGUAACACGUGGAUAACCUACCUAUAAGACUGGGAUAACUUCGGGAAACCGGAGCUAAUACCGGAUAAUAUUUUGAACCGCAUGGUUCAAAAGUGAAAGACGGUCUUGCUGUCACUUAUAGAUGGAUCCGCGCUGCAUUAGCUAGUUGGUAAGGUAACGGCUUACCAAGGCAACGAUGCAUAGCCGACCUGAGAGGGUGAUCGGCCACACUAGAACUGAGACACGGUCCAGACUCCUACGGGAGGCAGCAGUAGGGAAUCUUCCGCAAUGGGCGAAAGCCUGACGGAGCAACGCCGCGUGAGUGAUGAAGGUCUUCGGAUCGUAAAACUCUGUUAUUAGGGAAGAACAUAUGUGUAAGUAACUGUGUACAUCUUGACGGUACCUAAUCAGAAAGCCACGGCUAACUACGUG